GUGGUUGUGGCUCAGUGGUAGAGCGCUUGCCUCGAAAGUGUGAGGCACUGGUUUGAUUCCCAGCACCAUA
rnacentral:tRNA from 1 species